UCUCUCUCUCGCUUCCUGUUACUGUUCUUGAGUUCUAUCCUUUUGUCGAUCGGACGCAGAGAGAGAGAGAGAGUGAGAGUAAGCAACAAUGUAGGCUUACCAGGAUCUCCUCACCGGCAAUGCUCCGUCAUUUUCACGUUCAUGUCUGUUAUUCCAAGUUUCGAUUCAAUUCGUUAUCGGAUCAUCCAUGGAUUUGCCUUUUAUAAGCAUGUUUUUCCGGUCGUUUCCUCUGGUGUCGGUAAGAUUCACGCAAGUUUUCUUAAGUCUCGCGUUGCUGCAUUCUCUGAUGGUAUGCUUAAUUGGCUUAGUUAGUCGGUAUUACGUCUCUGUAAGUUGGAAGCUCGUCCAUUACCAAUCCGAUUCCCGCUGCUGUCGAUUAUGUUGGGCUUACUCAAUUUUCGUUUCCCUGGAGCGAAUUCUAGGGUUUCGAUCCUCGUUUCUCUUUUUGGUUUAGAUUGCUUCGAAGUUUGAGUUUUUCUACUCUCAUAAUGGUGUUUAACACUAUAGCUUUCAGGUGACGAGCUUCUGUAUGACUCAUUUCCUUGCAAGGAAAUCGAGAGCGGAACCCUUAGGGAGGUAGUGGGAAAGCCGGUUGCUCAAGGAGCAAUUGAGGUGGAUAUCGGAGCUAAUCCUUCCGCCAAAGGUAGCGAUGAGGAGCCUCCUUUCAACAAGAAGCGUUUCAUUGCAGAGGUCAGCAAUUACCUCGAGCUUUUGAAGUCCAUGUUGAACUCCGACCAACAGGAUAAGCUCAAGAAGAACACAGAAGGAGCAACCAAGCUCUUGCUGUCUAAACUAUAAGAUCUCCAACUCUUUGUUGAAGAGAGCAUGGCAAAUGACAGCAGCUUGGUGUUUGCAUAUUACAAGGACAGUGCGACAAACCCGGCAUUAUUGUACUUUGCGGCUUUGCCUAUUGCCUUGAGGAGGUUUAAGUGCUAAAGAUGAAUGUUUGGAAAUCUCUGUCUUGGGAUAAAACAAUAAUAUUUCAUCCAUUUUUUUAAUAGUAACACUCUAUUUUUUUUGGCAACGGAGCUUUCGGAUGCGGAGUAAACCCACCGGUCCCACGCAAUAGCAUGCAAAUGACAUGGAACAGGUAAACCAGCAGAAACUGAAAGACUCAGGGGAAGACUCAUGUUCUAGAGGGUUGAACCCAUUACCUCCAACUAGAAAGAUAAGGUUCUCAACCAAUAGAGUUGGCAGCUUCUCCCUCUACUCUCUUUGUUAUGCUUGUUCUAUUGUUUGAUCUCAUUGAGAAUCUCAGUCUGGUCUUGUUACUUCAUUUGAUCUCUUUGUUUCUCAUUUAAUACAUUAUCUGUGUGGAUGCACUUUCUGCUCGGAAAAUAAAGUAUAAUAUCUUCUGGUUC